GACGAACCGUGCGAACGUUAUUCGGAAUCACUGGGCUUAAAGCGCGUGUAGGCGGGACGGCACGUCGGUCGCUGAAAUCCCCCGGCUCAACCGGGGAACGGGCGCCGAUACGACCGCCCUGGAGGGACGUAGGGGGGACCUGGAACUUCCGGUGGAGCGGUGAAAUGCGUUGAGAUCGGAAGGAACGCCCGUGGCGAAAGCGAGGUCCUGGACGUCUGCUGACGCUGAGACGCGAAAGCCAGGGGAGCGAACGGG
rnacentral:rRNA from 1 species